UCUUACUUUAUGAAAUUGCCACAGCCACCCUAGCCUUCCAUAGCCACCUCCCUGAUCGGUCAGCAGCCAUCAGCUGAUGUCAAGAGAAGGAAGCUGAACUGAACAAGGUUAAGUGACUUGGCCAAAGUCACAGGCACUAACUACGACAGCUGAAAGUUUCAGAACGUUCUCUCCAGCUGUGACAAGGAGGUGCACGUGAAGUGUGCCUCCAGCCAGCCCCAUAUGUCCAG
rnacentral:lncRNA from 13 species